ACUCCUACGGGAGGCAGCAGCGAGGAAUCUUGGGCAAUGGGCGAAAGCCUGACCCAGCGACGCCGCGUGGGGGAAGAAGGCCUUCGGGUCGUAAACCCCUUUUGCCGGGGAAGAAGCUCUGACGGUACCCGGCGAAUAAGCCACGGCUAACUACGUGCCAGCAGCCGCGGUAAU
rnacentral:rRNA from 1 species